rnacentral:rRNA from 1 species
GAUGAACGCUAGCGGCAGGCCUAAUACAUGCAAGCCGAACGGCAAGAACUUUAGCAAUAGAGUUCCUAGAGUGGCGUAAGGGUGCGUAACACGUAUGCAAUCUGCCCUCAACAGGAGGAUAGCUCCCCGAAAGGGGAAUUAAGACUCCAUAAGAUCAUUUUAUGGCAUCAUGAGAUGAUUAAACUACCAGGGGUUGAGGAUGAGCAUGCGCAUGAUUAGUUAGUUGGCGGGGUAACGGCCCACCAAGACGAUGAUCAUUAGGGGAACUGAGAGG